rnacentral:antisense_RNA from 1 species
GGGGAACACCCAGGGCAGCUCCCAUAGGCUGCACAAGGGAAGAGGGGAGGGCUUCUACUGAGGUGAAACAGUGACCCACCCCUCCCACACCGUCAGCCUCCCUCCCCUCUCCACCCUUCAGUGCUGGGACCCCAGGGCCCAUAGACAGCUGGGGGAGUGGGGAGACAGGAGGAACUCAAGCUCAGCUUCUGCCUCCUGUCUUCUGGGACCCUCGGGCAGCCCCUCCAGCUUCCUGGGAGUCCAAUUUCCCAAGGUAGAACGGUGGCGGCAGAGCCUGGCCCUGUGGUGGGGCAGCUGCACCCCGAUGAGUGGCUUGCAGUUCCUGGAGCCCUGCAGGUUGUUGGAGAGGCAGGGAGCCAUUCUCUCUCCCGCCUGCCCUCUUGCACUUCCUCUCCCAGAACCCAGCGCUACUCCCAGAGGCUCUGAGCUGGAGCCCUAGAAGGUAACCACCUCCUGGCUGGACACAGGGCAAGUUGGGGCCAGGCGUGAGGACAGGUGCCCCAGGAGCCACCUGCUCCACUCAUCCACAAAGGCCUUAACUGGCUCAGGGGCCUCGAGCUCCCAGUCAAGCCCUGCCCUCCUGACCUUGUCCUGCCCUGGUGCUGCCAGUCGGGUGGAGGUGUCUCGGGGCCAGCUGGUCUCCUGGCAACUGAAGUCCGCGCUUCCCUUCCAUUCACUCAUUCCUUCCUUUCCUCACGCAGGAGGCGCUGCAAGGCUCCGUGCUCCUGGAGCUUCGAGUCUAUGGUAUGAGUUAAACAGAAGGGUAUCUCCUCCAUCAGAUCUACAGGAGGGUGUCUCCUCCAUCAGACCUGGAGCUCCCAAGGCAUUUUACCCGAAGCUCCAGCACCUGGCCCAAGGCUGGGCUGUGCUGUGUCCUCAGUGAAAGAAUGGAUGAGUCACAACUGAAUGACUGAAGAGCUGAACCAAUGGGAAAACUGAUGCUCAGAGGCUUGAGCAACCUAGGCCAGGACCUGUCCUUAGAGGCAGAAGCAGGACUCAGAGGAAGAGCACCCUGACCACAAAGCCCCAGGGUCCAGAAAGACUCAGCCACUGGAGUCUGUAUUUCCUGAGUCCGCCUCUCACUGGUAAGUCCUGAGCCCCGUUCCUUCCCAGCACCCACUCUUGGAGCAGCUAUCCAGGGCUGUGCUGUGGCUGCUGCGGUCAGGGAGAGGUCGCAUGCUCCAGCCAGGGUCUUUGGGGGCUCAGUUUAGAACUAAUACGCCAAGCAAGUCGUGCUGAGUGUCUGGGCUUCUUCUAGGAAGGUAUUUCCAAUCAUCAAAUGUGCCAUUAAAAAAAAAUGCAUGUCAGUUAAGUGUGCACUAAGCCUGGACCACAUGGGACAUAGUGGUUCCAAUAAACACGAAUAAGCCAGUUUUCACAUUAGAGAAAUACCAGUUUCUUGCAGAAAUGCGGUGCUUUUAAAAGAGGUUAAUUAAUAAACAGCAGGUAAUUGUUCAUGGCACAUUGUGGCGGAGGGUAAUUUUCAUUUUAGAGGAUGGAAGGGCCAAAUACCCCUCCCCACUCAGCAUUUUUCUGUAAUAAUCACCUCAGCUUCACCUCCGCCUUUCAUUUUUACAGCUGGAGCUGUUUAUCAUCGCUCCAACUUUCACUAAAAAGGAAAAACUAUCACUUAACAAAGCCAUUGAAACCCCAGCAUCAUAUGUGGAUUUUUUAACAUAAAUAAAUCAUACAAACUAA